UGGGGAAUAUUGGACAAUGGGGGAAACCCUGAUCCAGCCAUGCCGCGUGUGUGAAGAAGGCCUUCGGGUUGUAAAGCACUUUAAGCGAGGAGGAAGGUUCGUUGGUUAAUAACCAGCGGAAUUGACGUUACUCGCAGAAUAAGCACCGGCUAACUCUGUGCCAGCAGCCGCGGUAAUACAGAGGGUGCAAGCGUUAAUCGGAAUUACUGGGCGUAAAGCGCGCGUAGGCGGUUGUGUAAGUUGGAGGUGAAAUCCCCGGGCUUAACCUGGGCACUGCCGUAAAAACUGCACGGCUAGAGUAUGGGAGAGGAAGGUAGAAUUCCAGGUGUAGCGGUGAAAUGCGUAGAGAUCUGGAGGAAUACCGAUGGCGAAGGCAGCCUUCUGGCCUAAUACUGACGCUGAGGUGCGAAAGCAUGGGGAGCAAACA
rnacentral:rRNA from 1 species